rnacentral:rRNA from 1 species
GACGUAGGGCGCGAGCGUUGUCCGGAUUUAUUGGGCGUAAAGAGCUCGUAGGCGGCUUGUCGCGUCGGCUGUGAAAUCCCGUGGCUCAACUGCGGGUCUGCAGCCGAUACGGGCAGGCUAGAGUUCGGUAGGGGAGACUGGAAUUCCUGGUGUAGCGGUGAAAUGCGCAGAUAUCAGGAGGAACACCGAUGGCGAAGGCAGGUCUCUGGGCCGAUACUGACGCUGAGGAGCGAAAGCGUGGGGAG